rnacentral:rRNA from 1 species
CCUACGGGAGGCAGCAGUGAGGAAUAUUGGUCAAUGGGCUUACGCCUGAACCAGCCAAGUCGCGUGAGGGAAGACUGCCCUAUGGGUUGUAAACCUCUUUUGUCAGGGAGCAACGCCGGCUACGUGUAGCCGGACUGAGAGUAACUGAAGAAAAAGCAUCGGCUAACUCCGUGCCAGCAGCCGCGGUAAUACGGAGGAUGCGAGCGUUAUCCGGAUUUAUUGGGUUUAAAGGGUGCGUAGGCGGAAUGCCAAGUCAGCGGUAAAAUCGCGGGGCUCAACCUCGCUCCGCCGUUGAAACUGGCGGUCUGGAGUGGGCUGGAAGUAUGCGGAAUGCGUGGUGUAGCGGUGAAAUGCAUAGAUAUCACGAAGAACUCCGAUUGCGAAGGCAGCAGACCGGCGCCCAACUGACGCUGAAGCACGAAAGCGUGGGUAUCGAACAGGAUUAGAUACCCGGGUAGUC